GCGGUAUGCCUAAUACAUGCAAGUCGAGCGGGAGCAGCAAUGCUCAAGCGGCAAACGGGUGAGUAAUACGUAUCUAAUCUGCCCUUAGAAAGGAACAACAGAUCGAAAGAUUUGCUAAUACCUUAUAGGACAUUGAUUCACAUGAAAUAAUGUUUAAAGUUCCGUUCGGAACGCUUUAGGAUGAGGGUGCGGCUUAUCAGAUAGUUGGUGAGGUAAUGGCUCACCAAGUCAAUGACGAGUAGCUAUGCUGAGAGGUAGAAUAGCCACAAGGGGACUGAGACACGGCCCCUACUCCUACGGGAGGCAGCAGUAGGGAAUUUUUCACAAUGGGCGAAAGCCUGAUGGAGCAAUACCGCGUGAAUGAAUGAAGGUCUUCGGAUUGUAAAAUUCUUUUAUAAGGGACGAACGAUGUGAAUAGGAAAUGGUUCGCAAAUGACUGUACCUUUUGAAUAAGUAACGGCAAACUAUGUGCCAGCAGCCGC
rnacentral:rRNA from 1 species